AUGUGCCUGGUUCCCCUUCACCUUCUGCCAUGAUUGGAAGUUUCCUGAGGCCUCCCCACCCAUGGAGAACUCACCCUGCUGAGGAGCAAAAGGAAAGGCAGUUUCUCACUUGGCCCCGCUUUCAGCUUAAUGUUUUCCUUCUGGCAGAGUGAACUGGGGACCUCAGUUGUUAUUUUCUUCUCAAAGAGGAAGAAGGAGUUUCAGAUGAUCCACUCUGGAUGUCAUGUUUUGAAGGAGCAAGUGUAUUACAUAAAACACGAUCACUCUGUCUCACAAAAAGACUCAAAAAGUAGAAAUAAAAGUGAGAACUCCCACUACUUAGUGAAAAUUCUCAAAGUGGGGGAUACGGAAGGAGACCGCUACUACCCCUGCUGCCCUCCUCCCUGCACCUUGCCUAGUUCACAAGACAGGAGGAGAGAAGAAGCAAAAAGUUAGAAAAAAAAACAAAAGUAAGAUAAAUAGCCAGACAACCUUGGCACCACCACCCAGCCCUAGGAGUUAAAAAAAGUAAUAAUAAUAACAUCAACCCCUGAGCUAAACUACUUGUGUUAUCUGUAAAUUCCAGGCACUAUGAAAAAAGCAUUGUAAGACUUUCUGUUCUGUUAGCUGAUGAUGCUGCCCCCAGUCACGUUUCCCACGCUUGCUUGAUGUAUCACGACUCUUUCACGUGGACCCCUUAAAGUUGUAACCCUUUAAAAAGGCCAAGAAUUUCUUUUUCGAGGAGCUCAGCUCUUAAAACGCAAGUCUGCCGACGCUCCCGGCCGAAUAAAAACCUCUUCCUUCUUGAA